rnacentral:rRNA from 1 species
AUAACGACUCUCGGCAACGGAUAUCUCGGCUCUCGCAUCGAUGAAGAACGUAGCGAACUGCGAUACUUGGUGUGAAUUGCARAAUCCCGWGAACCAUCGAGUCUUUGAACGCAAGUUGCGCCCGAAACCUUUGGUCGAGGGCACGUUKGCCUGGGUGUCACA